rnacentral:misc_RNA from 1 species
GCACAUUUAGCAUAAGACCAAGAUUGAAAUUUAAUGGUUUUGAACUGUGAUUCUUUUUUACACAAAUGACGAAAGCGCAAAUUAGAGAGAGGAAAGUGGAUGAAUACCAAUGUAGCAUCAUGUAGUUGUAGUAGCACUCAGAUUUGCAUUUGAUAGACGUGCAUAGCAUUGAAAUCUGAUACAUGUAAAAACCUAUACAACUUUGAGAACCACUUCGAUUGACUCCUACUAUGAUCUGCAACAGCUGUAUGAGCUCCCACUUGGUACAGGUCCUUGGCCAGGAACAACAAUUUCCUUUCCCCUGAGGAGAGCUGAACUCCCAGCGGCGGAUUCUGCCUCAUUGGCAACAAGGGAUUUCUUGCUGACAACCCUAUAUAUCUCCGUCAAGACAUUAACAAAAGCUGUAUCCACAUUUGUUGAUUCUAGGGCCGAUGUUUCAAUAAAGAACAAGUUCUCUUUCUCAGCAAACUCUUUCGCAUCCUCAGUAGGUACAGCACGAAGACUACCCAAGUCAGUCUUGUUGCCUACAAGCAUGAUGACAAUGUUUUUAUCAGCAUGGCCCCGCAGUUCCUCCAACCACCUGGCGAUAUGAUCAAAAGAUUGACGUUUGGUAAUGUCAUAGACUAGCAUUGCUCCAACAGCACCUCGGUAGUACGCACUUGUCACUGCCCUAUAUCUCUCCUGACCAGCAGUAUCCCAAAUCUGAGCCUUAAUAGUCUUAUUAUCGAUUUCUAACGUCCUCGUCUGGAACUCAACACCGAUGGUCGCCUUUGAAUCAAGACUAAACUCAUUCCUCGAAAAUCUUGCCAAUAACUGCGAUUUUCCAACUGCAGAAUCUCCGAUCAGCACCGCCUUGAACACAUAAUCUAUUUUCUGAUUGAAAUCCCCUCCAUACAAUUUCGACAUCUUUGUAAACAAAAAAAAAAAACUAUAACCCG